UUUAGGGCACUGGAAGGUCCCUAAACCGAAAGGGGCUCUGCCCGCCCGAGGAUGGGCCGGCGGCCGAUUAGGUAGUUGGUGGGGUAACGGCCCACCAAGCCCAUAAUCGGUACGGGCAGUGAGAGCUGGAGCCCGGAGAUGGACACUGAGACACGGGUCCAGGCCCUACGGGGCGCAGCAGGCGCGAAACCUCCGCAAUGCUCGAAAGAGCGACGGGGGGACCCCAAGUGCCGUGGUACAACCACGGCUUUUCCGGAGUGUAAGAAGCUCCGGGAAUAAGGGCUGGGCAAGGCCGGUGGCAGCCGCCGCGGUAAUACCGGCGGCCCGAGUGGUGGCCACUAUUAUUGGGCCUAAAGCGUCCGUAGCCGGGCUUGUAAGUCCCUGGCGAAAUCCCACGGCUCAACCGUGGGGCUUGCUGGGGAUACUGCAAGCCUUGGGACCGGGAGAGGCCGGGGGUACUCCUGGGGUAGGGGUGAAAUCCUAUAAUCCCAGGAGGACCGCCAGUGGCGAAGGCGCCCGGCUGGAACGGGUCCGACGGUGAGGGACGAAGGCCAGGGGAGCAAACCGGAUUAGAUACCCGGGUAGUCCUGGCUGUAAAGGAUGCGGGCUAGGUGUUGCUUGGACCUCGAGUCCAAGCAGUGCCG
rnacentral:rRNA from 1 species